AUAAAUGCUGUGAAAAGAAAUAGUAAGUAUUUUAGAUUUUAAGAGAGAAGUUGGCCGGUGUGAAACUUUAAUGAAAAAAUAUUGAACCAGUCUUGGAGCUAUGAACCGAAAGAACAUCCAGUAGGCUUCAUCGGAAAUUCCACCGCUAUCAGGAAAACAGUAUCAAGAUAUGUCUUCGUACUGGUUGAGUGCAGUUCUUACUGAAUUUAGGUGGCAACACGGAAAAGUAUAUUCGCCCUAAGU
rnacentral:ncRNA from 1 species